rnacentral:lncRNA from 1 species
ACCGGGUAUGAUUCAUUAUUUUGUUAUAAAUGAUUUGUUAUGCUCUAAAUUUUGUAGAACUUAAAUAUAUGUUAUAACAAGAAAAAGAAAUUAUGUUGAAAUUUUUAUUUUUAUCUUUUGUAUAUUAAUUAUUAUUCACUGUCAUGACUGUCAUGACUAAAUAAAAAUUAGAUCCCACGCAUGCGCGGCAUAGUUACUGUAAAUAAGUGCCGGACACGUUAUCAUCAGUAUGUUGAUGGAUUAUAAAAGAAGAAGAAGAAUCUUAUAAAUACUAUUUGCUUUGUCACCAUGUCACGUUGGUAGUAAUAUUCAACAAAUUCUAUUUUAAAAUAAAAAAAGUAUUAUAAAUUGAUCACAAC